rnacentral:rRNA from 1 species
CGACGGGUGAGUACACGUGGGCAAUCUGCCCUGCACUCUGGGACAAGCCCUGGAAACGGGGUCUAAUACCGGAUACUGAUCCUCGCAGGCAUCUGCGAGGUUCGAAAGCUCCGGCGGUGCAGGAUGAGCCCGCGGCCUAUCAGCUAGUUGGUGAGGUAACGGCUCACCAAGGCGACGACGGGUAGCCGGCCUGAGAGGGCGACCGGCCACACUGGGACUGAGACACGGCCCAGACUCCUACGGGAGGCAGCAGUGGGGAAUAUUGCACAAUGGGCGAAAGCCUGAUGCAGCGACGCCGCGUGAGGGAUGACGGCCUUCGGGUUGUAAACCUCUUUCAGCAGGGAAGAAGCGAAAGUGACGGUACCUGCAGAAGAAGCGCCGGCUAACUACGUGCCAGCAGCCGCGGUAAUACGUAGGGCGCAAGCGUUGUCCGGAAUUAUUGGGCGUAAAGAGCUCGUAGGCGGCUUGUCACGUCGGUUGUGAAAGCCCGGGGCUUAACCCCGGGUCUGCAGUCGAUACGGGCAGGCUAGAGUUCGGUAGGGGAGAUCGGAAUUCCUGGUGUAGCGGUGAAAUGCGCAGAUAUCA